GGUGAGAUGGCCGAGUGGUCUAAGGCGCUAGAUUUAGGCAGCCUGCUAAACUCUAGUCAUUCGUGGCGUGGGUUCAAAUCCCACUCUCAUCA
rnacentral:tRNA from 1 species